AGACUGGCUCCUCCACCUCCC
rnacentral:siRNA from 1 species